AUUGAACGCUGGCGGCAUGCUUUACACAUGCAAGUCGAACGGUAACAGGCCGCAAGGUGCUGACGAGUGGCGAACGGGUGAGUAAUGCAUCGGAACGUGCCCAGUAGUGGGGGGUAGCCCGGCGAAAGCCGGAUUAAUACCGCAUACGACCUGAGGGUGAAAGGGGGGGGAUCGCAAAACCUCCCGCUAUUGGAGCGGCCCAUGUCAGAUUAGCUAGUUGGUGGGGUAAAGGCCUACCAAGGCAACGAUCUGUAGUUGGUCUGAGAGGACGACCAGCCACACUGGGACUGAGACACGGCCCAGACUCCUACGGGAGGCAGCAGUGGGGAAUCUUGGACAAUGGGCGCAAGCCUGAUCCAGCAAUGCCGCGUGCAGGAAGAAGGCCUUCGGGUUGUAAACUGCUUUUGUCAGGGAAGAAAUCUUCUGGGUUAAUACCUCGGGAGGAUGACGGUACCUGAAGAAUAAGCACCGGCUAACUACGUGCCAGCCGCCGCCGUAAUAC
rnacentral:rRNA from 1 species